rnacentral:rRNA from 1 species
GAUGAACGCUGGCGGCGUGCUUAACACAUGCAAGUCGAGCGAGUGAGUUCUUCGGAACGAUCUAGCGGCGGACGGGUGAGUAACACGUGGGCAACCUGCCUCAUAGAGGGGAAUAGCCUCCCGAAAGGGAGAUUAAUACCGCAUAAAAUUAUCGAGUGGCAUCACAUGAUAAUCAAAGGAGUAAUCCGAUAUGAGAUGGGCCCGCGGCGCAUUAGCUAGUUGGUGAGGUAACGGCUCACCAAGGCGACGAUGCGUAGCCGACCUGAGAGGGUGAUCGGCCACAUUGGGACCGAGACACGGCCCAGACUCCUACGGGAGGCAGCAGUGGGGAAUAUUGCACAAUGGGGGAAACCCUGAUGCAGCAACGCCGCGUGAGUGAUGAAGGUCUUCGGAUUGUAAAGCUCUGUCUUUGGGGACGAUAAUGACGGUACCCAAGGAGGAAGCCACGGCUAACUACGUGCCAGCCGCCGCCGUAA